rnacentral:lncRNA from 1 species
AUUACAAAAUCAAAAAGCUUAUCUCCUAGGUUCACAAUCCUAGAGAUUCAAAUAAGUUCUUAUGGAGAAUUUUCAAAGGCUAAAAGGUGAAAACAAUGUUUUCAGAUUUAGAAAUGAUUCUAGUUUGUUUUUUAGAUGACAUACAUAGCAAACUUUGACCUUGCAAAAAUUAAUCUAAGUGAACCAAUGAUAAGGUCUUUUGAGAUUAAGUUCAUACUAGUAUGAGUUGAUUUUAUAUGCCAAAAAUGGUUUCUUUAAUCUUGGUAUUCAUAGUGCAUAUAUUCAAAGGCAUACCAAGUAUACAUUCUCAUGUCUAUGAUCAAUAAAAGAUAAUGCCAUGGAUAAAAACUCUCAAUUAAGCAUAUAGAGAAUUCAUAGAGUUAUUCUUAAUAAAUUGAUUAAUCAUUUAGCAACUUAUCAACAGUAAGUAAAGCAUACUAUAAAAUAAAAUGAUUUAAUUAUAUAUAUAUACAUAUUACCUAUAUCACAAAAUUGAUUAAUACCUGCAAUUCAUGUUUUAAUCAGAUACUAAGGCAAAGAGAAUGAUAAAAUGCAAGGAUUAUUUUUUUCAUUAUUAUUUUCAUUUCAAUUUCUUUUCUUAAGUUUAUUUUAAGUUUCAUUCUUUAAUAUGUGUCUAGAGCACCCAAUGUCCAAAUUAACUGUUGGAGCCUUAAGUGCUAGACACACCUGCAGAAAAUAUUCAGAUUUUCA